rnacentral:rRNA from 1 species
GUGGGGAAUUUUGGACAAUGGGCGAAAGCCUGAUCCAGCCAUGCCGCGUGUGUGAAGAAGGUCUUCGGAUUGUAAAGCACUUUAAGUUGGGAGGAAGGGCAGUAAGUUAAUACCUUGCUGUUUUGACGUUACCAACAGAAUAAGCACCGGCUAACUUCGUGCCAGCAGCCGCGGUAAUACGAAGGGUGCAAGCGUUAAUCGGAAUUACUGGGCGUAAAGCGCGCGUAGGUGGUUUUGUAAGUUGGAGGUGAAAUCCCCGGGCUCAACCUGGGAACUGCCUCCAAAACUGCAUGACUAGAGUACGGUAGAGGGUAGUGGAAUUUCCUGUGUAGCGGUGAAAUGCGUAGAUAUAGGAAGGAACACCAGUGGCGAAGGCGACUACCUGGACUGAUACUGACACUGAGGUGCGAAAGCGUGGGGAGCAAACAGGAUUAGAAACCCCGGUAGUCC